AUGGCCCACCAAGCCUACGAUCGGUACGGGCAGUGGAGCUGAAGCCCGGAGUUGGGACUGAGACAAGGCCCCAGGCCCUACGGGGCGCAGCAGGCGCGAAACCUCUGCAAUGCGGGAAACCGUGACAGGGGGAUCCCAAGUGCUCAUGCAUUGCAUGGGCUGUUCUUUGGUCUAAGUAACCAGAGGAGUAAGGGCUGGGCAAGACUGGUGCCAGCCGCCGCGGUAAUACCGGCAGCUCAAGUGGUAGCCGCGAUUACUGGGCCUAAAACGUUCGUAGCCGGAUAAGUAAGUCUUUGGUUAAAUCCUGCGACUUAACCGUGGGAAAUCUAGAGAUACUGCUUGUCUUGAGACCGGAGAGGUUGGAGGUACUCCCAGGGUAGGGGUGAAAUCCUGUAAUCCUGGGGGGACCACCUGUGGCGAAGGCGUCCAACUGGAACGGGUCUGACGGUGAGGGACGAAACCUA
rnacentral:rRNA from 1 species